UUUGAGAGAAACAAAAGAUACCUAUAAUUUAAAAAAUAACGUUGACAGAAUCCUAUAAAGUUAACCAGUGGAUAUUUAAGUUUCUUUUAUCUAGUUGUGUAUGUAAUUUCCAAUUUUUAAAAGUACAUUUGCUAUUACUUUGUAAAUCUCAUUUCACAAUUCCCAUCUCUCUUUCCAUUAAAGAAGUUAGGGAAAAAAUUUUAACUAGGAAAACUUUUUUAAAAAAUUAGGAAUACGAGGAUUAAACCAAAAAUUUCUAUUGAAGUUACCUUAAAUGAUGAUUUUUAAAGCUUGGCUAUCAGCAUUCAACUGAAAUACAAUUCACAAAUCCUAUUAUUUACAUAGAAAUUACUACUGAUUUUCAACAGAACUUACCUGAAAUGAAGAGAAAACUCAUUGCUGAUCACUUGAAAAAAGAAAAACAAUUUUUUAAACUCUCUAACGGAAAUUUAACAAAAUGAACUACAUUGAUAAGGUAGCUAUUUCUCUGAAUAAAUUGUUAUUUUGAGAAAUAGAUUAAGCCUGUAAAAGAACUAAAUACUAUGUCAGUGAAUUUUUAUAAAUAAUUACCUAUUUUUAUAUUAUAAGGAAACCUAAUUUGUUACCGUCUGUUUGCCAUGAGAUAGUACAUUUCUAGUCAUUCUGUAUUGAAAGAAACCAGGAUUUGGAAAUAAGAAUUUUAGUUAAUUCUUUGUGCACUUCUUAAGGUGCUCAGGAAUACUGUAAUUAGCUAUAUCAGAUACUUUAUUAUUCUGGUAUUAUAGAA